rnacentral:lncRNA from 1 species
CUCCUCUUUCAGCAGCUUUUCUCCCCAGAUCAAUAUGGGCAAAACGCCCUUCCUGUGCGGAGCAGCUCCGUUUCCUUCGCUUCCCCCUCCGGCUCCCAGCGCCGGGCCCGCUCCCCCCAGCCCCGCACACUCACUGCAGCGCGCCGAGCCGUGCCGGGCAGCCCCCGCCGUGUCCCGCAGCCGUUCCCCACUCACUGAGGCUUCAGUGCAAACUAUCACAGACUACUGGUGUGAUCACCCUAUUACACCUGCAGAGCUGCUAGAGGUGCAGCCACCAUGGGGAUGAACUUGUCAAAUCAGAGAGAAUCAUCAUCGCCUCCCUGGUGCCUUUGUUACAUAGGAAGCAUCACCACAAAGGAAAAUGAGGAAAAAGAAGAGUGC